CCUACGGGGGGCUGCAGUGGGGAAUAUUGGACAAUGGGGGCAACCCUGAUCCAGCCAUGCCGCGUGUGUGAAGAAGGCCCUCGGGUUGUAAAGCACUUUCAGUGAGGAAGAACGCCUGGUGGUUAAUACCCGUCAGGAAAGACAUCACUCACAGAAGAAGCACCGGCUAACUCCGUGCCAGCAGCCGCGGUAAUACGGAGGGUGCGAGCGUUAAUCGGAAUUACUGGGCGUAAAGCGCGCGUAGGUGGCUUGAUAAGCCGGUUGUGAAAGCCCCGGGCUCAACCUGGGAACGGCAUCCGGAACUGUCAAGCUAGAGUGCAGGAGAGGAAGGUAGAAUUCCCGGUGUAGCGGUGAAAUGCGUAGAGAUCGGGAGGAAUACCAGUGGCGAAGGCGGCCUUCUGGACUGACACUGACACUGAGGUGCGAAAGCGUGGGUAGCAAACAGGAUUAGAUACCCCGGUAGUC
rnacentral:rRNA from 1 species